CCAUUGGAGGACGAUGAGCUCAUAUUGUACAUGAUGCGCGGACUAGGAUCAGAAUUUGAUCCACUGGUGACGAGCAUUACAAGUAGGGCCGAUCCAAUGACGGUCAACGAUGUUUAUGCACAUAUGCUUAGCUUUGCAU